UCGGGAAUUUUGGGCAAUGGGGGAAACCCUGACCCAGCAACGCCGCGUGAAGGAUGAAGUAUUUCGGUAUGUAAACUUCGAAAGAAUAGGAAGAAUAAAUGACGGUACUAUUUAUAAGGUCCGGCUAACUACGUGCCAGCAGCCGCGGUAAUACGUAGGGACCAAGCGUUGUUCGGAUUUACUGGGCGUAAAGGGCGCGUAGGCGGCAAUUCAAGUCAUCUGUGAAAUCUCCGGGCUUAACUCGGAACGGUCAGAUGAUACUGCUUUGCUAGAGUGCAGAAGGGGCAAUCGGAAUUCUUGGUGUAGCGGUGAAAUGCGUAGAUAUCGGAAGGAACAUCGGUGGCGAAGGCGUCUACCUGGCCUAAUACUGACACUGAGGCACGAAAGCGUGGGGAGCAAACAGGAUUAGAUACCCCCGUAGUCCCUGAGCGGGCUGGCAAGGC
rnacentral:rRNA from 1 species